UUUUUUUUUGAGACAGAGUCUUGCUCAGUCACCCAGGCUGGAGUGCAGUGGUGCGAUCUCUGCUCACUGCAAGCUCCGUCUCCCGGGUUCACGCCAUUAUCUAGCCUCAGCCUGCUGAGUAGCUGAACUACAGGCGCCCGCCACCAUGCCCGGAUAAUUUUUUGUAUUUUUAGUAGAGGUGGGGUUUCACCGUGUUAGCCAGGAUGGUCUCGAUCUCCUGACCUCAUGAUCCACCCGCCUCAGCCUCCCAAAGUGCUAGGAUUACAGGCGUGAGCCACUGCACCCGGCCUUUUUUUCUUUUUUGAGAUGGAGUCUCACUCUGUCGCCCAGGCUGCAGUGCAGUGCCACAAUCUCGGGUCACUACAACCUCCACCUCCCGGGUUCAAGCGAUUCUCCUGCCUCAGCCUCCCAAGUAGCUGGGAUUACAGGUGCCCACCACCACAGCCGGCUAAUUUUUAUAAUUUUAGUAGAGACGGGGUUUUGCCACGUUGGCUAAGCUGGUCACAAAUUCCUGACCUCAGGUGAUUCGCCCGCCUUGGCCUCCCAAAGUGCUGGGAUUACAGGUGUGAGCCACCGUGCCCGGCCCACAUCACAUCAUUACUUUUUAUUUCCUUACAGUUUUAUAGGAAAAGGUCAGUCCAAGAGAAACUGAAAGGAGCAGACAGUUCUGGACACUUAACGCAGGCACGACAUCUUAAACAGGCUCUGGGCCCUCUGGAAACUUUCCAGAAGCUUCUACCUUUAGGGCUCAGCCCCUUCCCCCACCUUAGAAACACCAUUCACGUUUUGUCUUUUUAUGACACUUUCUCCAAGGGGCUUGGAAACGGGCACUUUUUAAACAUAAGCGACGCCCUCCCACGGAGUGCACCUGCCCAGUGGGCUUGUGUGUGUGUCUGUGCACAUCUGUCUCUCCGUGCGGGCCCAGCCCUGCAAGCCAGCCAUGCGGUCUCUCUGCCUACGGUGCCCUUCUUCAGGCAUCAGCGCUUCCACCCACACCGUCCUUCUGCCUGACCAACCCCUACAUGUACAUCAAAGGCUGUUCUCAUGCAUCGAAGGACACCAUCAAUGGACAGAAAAAUGCAACCCAGAGAUGGAGGGAAAUGUCUGCAGAUCACACGUCUCCUAGAGACUGAUCUCUAGACUCUACAAAUAACUCCAACUCAACAACAGAAAACCAAACGUCCCAAUUUUAGGAUGGACGGAUGGUCUCCCUCGGGUCCUCGUUUCCAAGACAAGAAGGAACAAUGGUUGUGCCAAAAGGGCCACGGCUGUGAGCAGCCCAUGACUGCAGGAGCUGCACCCAAUGUGUACCCAGGGACAACGCCAUUAAGCAGUUCAUCAGGAUGCGGUAGAGUUAGGCAGUUCACUAUCGGGACGAGGUAAAGUUUGGCAGUUCACCAUCGGGAUGCGGCUGAGUUAGCAGUUCACCACUGGGACGAGGUAGAGUUUGGCAGUUCACCGUCGGGACGAGGUAGAGUUUGGCAGUUCACCGUCGGGAUGCGGCAGAGUUAGCAGUUCACCAUCAGGAUGUGGUAGAGUUAGGCAGUUCACCAUUGGGACGAGGUAGAGUUAGGCAGUUCACCAUCGGGACGAGGUAAAGUUUGGCAGUUCACCAUCGGGAUACGGCAGAGUUAGCAGUUCACCAUCGGGAUGUGGUAGAGUUAGGCAGUUCACCAUCGGGAUGCGGUAGAGUUAGGCAGUUCACCAUCGGGACGAGGUUUAGGCAGUUCACCAUCGGGACGAGGUAAAGUUUGGCAGUUCACCAUCGGGAUGCGGCAGAGUUAGCAGUUCACCAUCGGGAUGUGGUAGAGUUAGGCAGUUCACCAUCGGGAUGCGGUAGAGUUAGGCAGUUCACCAUCGGGACGAGGUUUAGGCAGUUCACCAUCGGGACGAGGUAAAGUUUGGCAGUUCACCAUCGGGAUGCGGCAGAGUUAGCAGUUCACCAUCGGGAUGUGGCAGAGUUAGCAGUUCACCAUCGGGAUGUGGUAGAGUUAGGCAGUUCACCAUCGGGACGAGGUAGAGUUAGGCAGUUCACCAUCGGGAUGCGGCAGAGUUAGCAGUUCACCAUAGGGAUGCGGUAGAGUUCGGCAGUUCACCAUCGGGAUGCGGUAGUUAGCAGUUCACCAUCGGGAUGCGGUAGAGUUUGGCAGUUCACCAUCGGGAUGCGGUAGAGUUCGGCAGUUCACCAUCGGGAUACGGCAGAGUUAGCAGUUCACCAUCGGGACGCGGUAGAGUUAGGCAGUUCACCAUCUGGAUGCAGUAGAGGCCGCAGCCUUGCAGACAUUUUGGAAGCAUCUGCGCCGACUGUGUGCUUCCCGAGCUGCGUGUGAAGCUGCGUCACUGCCCCAGUGGUGCCCUUCACAGCAAGCCAGUCAGGAAUCCUGCUCCUCAAGUCCAGGGCUAUGCACGUCACCCAAGUCUAGACCUGGGUGCUGCCCACGACCCCCACCAAGGCCCCAAGACCAUGCAUUCCACCUGGGUCUAGACCUGGGUGUUGCCCACGACUCCCACUAAGACCCACAUAAGGAGCUGAGUCCUUAAGGACUAAAGACAAACUAUCCUCUGGGGAAAAAAAUACGGAAAUUAUACUUUAAAAAAAGGGCAAAGGACUUGAAUAGACAUUUCCCCAAAGAAGAAAAACCGACGACCAAGAAGCAGUGAAAAGGCAUUCCACAUCAUCGUUCAGCAGAGAAACCCAUCCAAGCCACCACCGCACCACGAUCCAGCCUCGCAGAAAAGGGCAACUGGCAGCAAGUGCCAGCCGGCGUGCAGAAGCCAGGCCCUCCAUCCGCUGAGUGUGCUGCGUGCUGCUGCACUGUGCUCUUGAUUCUACCGGCCAGGGCGGCAGUCCUGCUCUUGAUUCUACAGGCGAGGGCGGCAGUCCCUGCUCUUCAAUCUAAAGACGAGGGCAGCUGUCCCCUGCUCUUGAUUCUACAGGCGAGGGCGGCUGUCCCUGCUCUUGAUUCUACAAGCAAGGGCAGCUGUCCCUGCUCUUGAUGCUACAGGCCAGGGCGGCUGUCCCUGCUCUUGAUGCUACAGGCCAGGGCGGCUGUCCCUGCUGAUUCUACAGGUGAGGGCGGCUGUCCCUGCUCUUGAUUCUACAGGCCAGGGCGGCUGUCCCUGCUCUUGAUUCUACAGGCCAGGGCGGCUGUCCCUUGCUCUUGAUUCUACAGGCCAGGGCGGCUGUCCCUUGCUCUUGAUGCUACAGGCCAGGGCGGCUGUCCCUGCUCUUGAUUCUACAGGCAAAGGCGGCUGUCCCUUGCUCUUGAUUCUACAGGCCAGGGCGGCUGUCCCUGCUCUUGAUUCUACAGGCCAGGGCGGCUGUCCCGUGCUCUUGAUUCUACAGGCCAGGGCGGCUGUCCCGUGCUCUUGAUUCUACAGGCCAGGGCGGCUGUCCCUGCUCUUGAUUCUACAGGCGAAGGCGGCUGUCCCUUGCUCUUGAUUCUACAGGCCAGGGCGGCUGUCCCUGCUCUUGAUUCUACAGGCCAGGGCGGCUGUCCCUGCUCUUGAUUCUACAGGCCAGGGCGGCUGUCCCUGCUCUUGAUUCUACAGGCCAGGGCGGCUGUCCCUUGCUCUUGAUGCUACAGGCCAGGGCAGCUGUCCCUGCUCUUGAUUCUACAGGCAAAGGCGGCUGUCCCUUGCUCUUGAUUCUACAGGCCAGGGCGGCUGUCCCUGCUCUUGAUUCUACAGGCCAGGGCGGCUGUCCCGUGCUCUUGAUUCUACAGGCCAGGGCGGCUGUCCCGUGCUCUUGAUUCUACAGGCCAGGGCGGCUGUCCCGUGCUCUUGAUUCUACAGGCCAGGGCGGCUGUCCCUGCUCUUGAUUCUACAGGCGAAGGCGGCUGUCCCUUGCUCUUGAUUCUACAGGCCAGGGCGGCUGUCCCUGCUCUUGAAUCUACAGGCCAGGGCGGCUGUCCCUGCUCUUGAUUCUACAGGCCAGGGCGGCUGUCCCUGCUCUUGAUUCUACAGGCCAGGGCGGCUGUCCCUGCUCUUGAUUCUACAGGCCAGGGCGGCUGUCCCUGCUCUUGAUUCUACAGGCCAGGGCGGCUGUCCCUGCUCUUGAUUCUACAGGCCAGGGCGGCUGUCCCUGCUCUUGAUUCUACAGGCCAGGGCGGCUGUCCCUGCUCUUGAUUCUACAGGCCAGGGCGGCUGUCCCUGCUCUUGAUUCUACAGGCCAGGGCGGCUGUCCCUUGCUCUUGAUGCUACAGGCCAGGGCGGCUGUCCCUGCUCUUGAUUCUACAGGCAAAGGCGGCUGUCCCUUGCUCUUGAUUCUACAGGCCAGGGCGGCUGUCCCUUGCUCUUGAUUCUACAGGCCAGGGCGGCUGUCCCUGCUCUUGAUUCUACAGGCCAGGGCGGCUGUCCCGUGCUCUUGAUUCUACAGGCCAGGGCGGCUGUCCCGUGCUCUUGAUUCUACAGGCCAGGGCGGCUGUCCCUGCUCUUGAUUCUACAGGCGAAGGCGGCUGUCCCUUGCUCUUGAUUCUACAGGCCAGGGCGGCUGUCCCUGCUCUUGAAUCUACAGGCCAGGGCGGCUGUCCCUGCUCUUGAUUCUACAGGCCAGGGCGGCUGUCCCUGCUCUUGAUUCUACAGGCCAGGGCGGCUGUCUCUGCUCUUGAUUCUACAGGCCAGGGCGGCUGUCCCUGCUCUUGAUUCUACAGGCCAGGGCGGCUGUCCCGUGCACACUCACAAGUGAAACAACACUCUUCAGGGAGGCACCGCGCUCAGGCCGUCAACACCCUUCCCGCACCUCCCUCCUCCGGUGGUUCUGUCAAGCAGGGACACAGGGACGGAGGGGCCUUGGUCAUUUUGGUCCUGGCUGUUGAAGCCCCCAUGAGGCUGACCUGAGAGGCCAAAGUUGGACACCACGAUUGCCACAAAGGCCAUAGCUGCUUCUCCUUGACGGUCACCUCGACGUGCCAAUGUGGCCAAGCAGGCAGGCGCCAGCAACACCCACAAGACAGAUGCUGAUGGCCCGGGGACUCCCCUAGGCCACCCCUAGAUGGCGCCAUGGCCCAGGGCCACCAGGAGCCAUGGCUGCUGCAAAAGGAACGGGGAUGCCGGGAAAAGCCUGGGGACCACGUCACCCACCCACAGAGCCGGGGCCUCUAGAGCACCUUGCUCUUGAAUCAGAGGCUGCUCUGGGAUGCUCCUCCCGCUGGACGUCUGCGUCCCACCCAUCCUGCAGGCUCCGCACCCGGUUGCCCACGGUGCGCGUCAGAACAGGAUUCUCAGCAACAGUGAAGAGGAAAAGUGUAAGAAGACUAUGAAACAACGUCCCCAUGGAUACCAUUUAGACACAAACAGCGGCCUGUUCUCUAAGCACAGUCAGCCGAGUGUCUUGUUCCCAGCAAGCCACAGCCACUGACCACAUGGAGCCCUCUGACCACACAGGGCCCCAGGAUGUCACUCUGGAAAAGCUCCUUCCGGUGCUCUGAGCGUUCCCCUCUGGCAGCGUCUGGCUCUUCAUUCGUGGAUGCGGUAUCUCUGAUGACGCCAAUGGUAAGAUGUCCUUCCCUGAGCUCUUUUCCUGCCUGUCUGGGUCUUUCCUCACAUUCUGGUGACCCUCAAGGACAGACCCUAGCCAGGAAGCUGGUGACUCUGGCUUCUAAGUUGGGGCUCUCGGCGGCGUCUCGUGGCCGCUUCUUUUGGGCUGACGGUUAUCCUGCCAUCAUCCUGCCACGGGCUCCCAUCUGCAUAUCAGGAGGCCCUGAGUUCCCAGGCAAGGAGGGGCUUGCUCAGGCCACCCUGUCCCCUGCCACCCUGUCCCCCACCAUCCCCAGUGGUGUCUGCUGUCCACGACUCAAUUUUCCCAGAGAAUAAACCUCCUGUGCUCCCUGCUGGGAACCACACCAGGCACUGCCCUGACCUCCCCUUCCCCUCACAUGGCAUUCCAAGCAGAUCGCAUGGCCCCUCACCCAGCCGUGGCAGCACCGCUGUUCCCAAACCAUCAAACCUCUCUCACCUAUCAGUCCACGUUUUUAUUUUUAUUUUUUGAGAAGGUGUCUCGUUCUGUCACCCAGGCUGGAGUGCAGUGGUGAGGCCAAGGCUCACUGCAGCCUCCAACUCCUAGGCUCACGUGCUCCUCAUAGCUCAGCCUCCUGAGUAGCUGGGACUACAGGUGUGCACCACCACACCUGGCUAAUUUUGUAUCUUUUGUACAGUCAGGGGUCUCGCUGUGUUGCCCAGGCUGGUCUUGAGCUCCUGAGCUCAAGCAAUCUGCCCACCUUGACCUCCCAAAGUGCUGGGAUGACAGGUAUGAGCCGCCACACAAUUGUAGCACAAUCUUGGCUCAUGGCAACCUCCACCUUCUGGGUUCAAGUGAUUCUUGUGCCUCUGCCUCCCAAGGAGUGGGGACUACAGGUGCCCGCCACCAUGCCCAGCUAAUUUUUUUUGCAUUUUUUGUAGAGAUGGGGUUUCACCAUGUUGGCUAGGCUUGUCUUGAACUCCUGACCUCAAGUGAUCUGCCUGCCUCGGCCUCCUAAAGUGCUGGGAUUACAGGCGUGAGCCACCAUGGCCAGCCGAGUUUCAUUCUUUUCAGGAUGGUAAAGGGAAUGCCACAACCAUUUGUCUAGAAGGGGCCUGGGUCUGAUGGCGCUGAGGGCCACAGAUUGGCAGCCUGAAGCCAGCAUCCUGGGCCUCCCAGGUUUGGCACAGCACCUAGCCCUUCAGGAUCAAAAAAGGACAGAGGACGAGGUGGGAGCUAAGCAGGCUCAGGAGUGAUAAGAUUUGGCUGUGUCCCCGCCCAAAUCUCACCUUGACUAAUCCCCACAGGUUGAGGGCGGGGCCAGAUGGAGAUAAUUAAAUCAUGGGGGUGGUUCCCCCCUGCUGUUUUUGUGCGGGUGAGUGAGUUCUCCCGACACCUGAUGGUUUUAGGAGGGGCUUCCCCCUUCACUCAGCACUCAUUCUCUCUGGAGCUGCCCUGUGUGAGGUACCUUCCGCCAUGACUGUAAAUUUCCUGAGGCCUCUGCAGCCAUGCGGAACUGUGAGUCAAUUAAACCUCUUUUCUUUACAAAUGACCCAGUCUGGGGUAUUUCUUCCUAGCAGCGUGAGAACAGGUGAGUACAUGGGCGUGGAGGCUGCCCAGGAACGUGUGGAGGGAGGUGGGGACGGGCACAGCACGUUGCCUGGCUGCAGACUCAGGCACCCUUCAGAGGGGGUCUCACAGCAUCAAUCUGAAAACGGGCAGUGGAGGGGGAGGAAGGGGUCUGAAAAUGUCACUGAGGCGUUUGCUUUACUAGGUGCGACUUCGUUUUCUUUUCUUUUUCUUUUUUGUCUGCUUUACCAGAUGCGACUUUCUUUUCUUUUCUUUUCGUUUUUGAGACGGAGUCUUGCUCUGUCGCCCAGGCUGGAGUGCAGUGGCGCGAUCUCGGCUCACUGCAAGCUCCGCCUUCUGGGUUCAUGCCAUUCUCCUGCCUCAGCCUCCCGAGUAGCUGGGACUACAGGCGCCCACCACCGCGCCUGCCUAAUUUUUUGUAUUUUUGGUAGAGACGGGGUUUCACCGUGGUCUCCAUCUCCUGACCUUGUGAUCCGCCCGCCUAGGCCUCCCAAAGUGCUGCGAUUACAGGCGUGAGCCACCGCGCCCGGCCCCCCGUUUUUUUUUUUUUUUGAGACAGUUUCACUCUCGUUGUCCAGGCCGGAGUGUGGUGGCGCAAUAUCAGCUCACUGCAACCUCUACCUCCCAUGUUCAAGUGAUUCUCCUGCCUCAGCCUCCCGAGUAGCUGGGAUUACAGGCACCCACCACCAUGCCCAACUAAUUUUUUUUUUUGUAUUUUUAGUAGAGAUGGGGUUUCACCAUGUUGGCCAGGCUGGUCUCAAACUCCUGACCUCAGGUUAUCCACCCACCUCGGCCUCCCAAAGCGCUGGGAUGACAGGGUUGAGCCACCGUGCCCAGGCGACUUUGUUUUCAACAGUCAUCAACGUGCUGGUGGUCUGGGGAGUGGACGUGGCACCUGUGCCCCUGCCCAUGGAGGCCAAUCUGCCCAGGGACUGUCAGCAGAGUUGCUGUAAGGCAGCCGAGGGAGGCUGGCUGCUGAGCCUGCGUAGCACCCUCGGCUCGGAAGUGGGACCCUCGGCCACCUGAGUGGAGGUUCCUUGGCUCAGGUGGUAGUCUGUCUGUCUGGGCCGGCCUGCCACCAGCAGCCAUGUUCCUGCAGGGCACAGUGCAGGGGCUGUUUGCUGCUGAGUUGCUAGCAUGGGACUCUGCAGACAGGAUUAAGGUGCACGGAUCUCGAGGUGGGAGAUUAUCCGGGAUUAUCUGGGUGGGGCCAAUUAACUACAUAAGUCCUUAACCGCCUUUCCUGGCUGAGCUACAGAUGAGACAGAAGGAGAGUCAAAGCAUGAGAGGGACUUCACCCGCCAGUGCUGGCUCUGCAGAUGGGCAAGGGCCCUCCGUGAACAACGCAGGCGGCCUGGAGAAGCCGGGAAAGGCUCGGCUUGCACCCAGCAAGGUGCUACUGCCAGUCCUACCACCAGCAAGAACGGAAUUCUGCCAACCUCCCAACGAGCAAGAGAACAUCUUCCUGUAGGGCCUGCAAAAAGCAAAGCCCUGGCCAACACCUUGACUUCAGCCCAGGGAAACCCACACUGGACUGAGGACCGAGAGGACUGUGUGUCAGCCAACACCUUGACUUCAGCUCAGGGAAACCCACACUGGACUGAGGACCGAGAGGACUGCGUGUCAGCCAACACCUUGACUUCAGCCCAGGGAAACCCACACUGGACUGAGGACCGAGAGGACUGCGUGUCAGCCAACACCUUGACUUCAGCCCAGGGAAACCCACACUGGACUGAGGACCGAGAGGACUGUGUGUCAGCCAACACCUUGACUUCAGCCCAGGGAAACCCACACUGGACUGAGGACCGAGAGGACUGUGUGUCAGCCAACACCUUGACUUCAGCCCAGGGAAACCCACACUGGACUGAGGACCGAGAGGACUGUGUGUCAGCCAACACCUUGACUUCAGCCCAGGGAAACCCACACUGGACUGAGGACCGAGAGGACUAUGUGUCAGCAAUAACAGAAAAGGAGUAGAAAGGCCAUCUAUUGCGGCCCUGUAUUUAUUAUAAAUAAACUGAAUCCAAACUAAAAAUCCACCCACUGGGGAAUGGUUACUGACAGAAUAGAAAUGUUCUAUGGCUAUUACAAAGAAACAAGCUUGCAGCCAUCAGCAUGGCUAAAAGGAAGGCAGGACUUAGAACAAACAGGACUCUCCCUCUCUCCUGUGGGACAGAAACUGUGUGACUGCUUUGGAGAACGGGUUGGCAGCAUCUACACAGGCCCUACAGCCCAGCUUCCACUCCUCAGUACGUCCCAACAGCAAUGGGCACCUGUGUUGACCAAACGCGUCUGAGACUCCUCACAGGAGCCCUGUGAGAGUCACCCAACAUGGAAACCAUCCCAAAGCCCAUCUGGAGUGGAGCCAAUGCACUGCAGCCUUGACACACGGGAGACCACUCGGCGCGGGGAAGGAGGGAGCAACUGCACUCAACCACGUGGCCGAAGCUCACCCAGAAGACAUGGAAAGAAGGCAGCCGGACACAGGAGAGUUUGCCCUGUGUGGCUCCAUUGACGUGAAAACUAGACAAGGCAGAUGAGUCCACAGUGACAUGCCAGGCCGGGGGCAGAGUGUGAGAGGCCUGCAGAGGGCGAGGCUGCGAGGGCUGAUGCUUUCUCAGGCCGGCAUGCCUGUCCGCACUCACUGUAUUGCAGACUUUAAAGGGGUUUUUUUGUACACAAAUUACACCUCAAUAAAGCUGAUUAAUUAAAAGACGGAAA